rnacentral:tRNA from 1 species
GCACUGGUAAACCGUAGGGGUAGCGGGCCUGGCUGUAAACCAGGUGCCUUCGGGCUCGGGUGGUUCGACUCCAUCUCGGUGCA